GAGUUUGAUCGUGGCUCAGAACGAACGCUGGCGGCAGGCCUAACACAUGCAAGUCGAACGCUCCGCAAGGGGAGUGGCGCACGGGUGAGUAACGCGUAGGAAUCUACCUGAUAGUUCGGGAUAACAGCGGGAAACUGCUGCUAAUACCGGAUACGCCCUGAGGGGAAAGUUUCUUCGCUAUCAGAUGAGCCUGCGUUGGAUUAGUUAGUUGGUGGGGUAAUGGCCUACCAAGACUCCGAUCCAUAGCUGGUCUGAGAGGACGACCAGCCACACUGGGACUGAGACACGGCCCAGACUCCUACGGGAGGCAGCAGUGGGGAAUAUUGGACAAUGGGCGCAAGCCUGAUCCAGCCAUGCCGCGUGAAUGAUGAAGGCCUUAGGGUUGUAAAGUUCUUUCGGUAGUGAAGAUGAUGACAGUAGCUACAGAAGAAGCCCC
rnacentral:rRNA from 1 species